UAUGUGAUCGUCUCUCGCAUAUCAAUAAGCGGAGGAAAAGAAACUAACAAGGAUUCCCCUAGUAACGGCGAGUGAAGCGGGAAGAGCUCAAAUUUGAAAUCUUAAAGGGUUUCCCUUUACGAAUUGUAGUUUAAAGAAGUGUUUUCUGUUGAGGUUUUGGUAAGAGUUCUUGGAAUAGGACAUCAUAGAGGGUGAGAAUCCCGUAUUUGACCUUUACUUUCAACUUUGUGAUACACUUUCAAAGGGUCGGAUUGUUUGGGAGUGCAGUCCAAAAUGGGUGGUAAAUUUCAUCUAAAGCUAAAUAUUGGCGAGAGACCGAUAGCGAACAAGUACCGUGAGGGAAAGAUGAAAAGAACUUUGAAAAGAGAGUUAAACAGUACGUGAAAUUGUCAAAAGGGAAGCGUUUGACACCAGUGUUGUUUUUCUGAAAAUCAAUUAAAGAACUGUUUAUGCUAAGUUGUUUAGACUUUAUCAGCUAAUCUGCUUAGUUUUGAGCUUUUCUUUAAUGCACUUUUCAGUUAACAAGUCAACAUCAAUUUCUUUUGCUGUAAAAAAGCUUGAGGAAGGUGGCUUGAGAUUCGUCUUAAGUGUUUAUAGCCUCUUGCCUAUGCAGUCGGAGAGAUUGAGGUCUGCAGCGUAGAUCCUUCGGGGCUAAAUGCAUUUGUGCUAAGUUAUAGCAUUUUAUAGACAACUUGUUGACUAUGAUUUGUCUUGUAGCUUACUCGCUUAUGUUAUUUUACCUACGCUUAGGAUGUUGAGGUCAUCGUAUCGCGC
rnacentral:rRNA from 1 species